UGGUAGUUUUCAUAGUAACUGUGAGAUAAAAGGAAAAACGUUUUCCUAAUUUUAGUAAUGUUGAAUUGAGAUUUCCAAUCUCGGAAAUUACUUAUGGAAAGGUUAUCAAGUAAAUACGGUUUACUAAACGACAGCUUGGAGAGACUAGACGAUCGUGGAGUGUUUCUAUAUGAUAGACACUCAGCCGACCAAUGAGCUAAACGAUCAUGCAGCUUUUGCUAAACGAUCACAUAGCUUUUGUUAAACAAUUGGGCAUCAUCUAUACGAUAGAUUUUGACAUCUCCCACUUGCUCAAUCGUUUACACGAUUAUUCUCUUUCGGUCUUGUCCUGUAACUAAGUCCACACAGAGCCCACACUUAUGGAUUCUCACACUGAGAAUACCAAGGUAGCCAUUGUGGUGGUGUCAUACUUAACUCGACACUUUCAAGGUUAUUCGGAGGUCGUUCGUUGAGUUCGCGGUGUUCGUAUGGUGGUUGCUGUAUUCGUGAUCUUGGAGAUCGUGGUGUUCGAGUUGUUUGUUGAUCGUGCGGUGUUACGGUCGUGGUGUACGAGCAUUCGAGUAUUGCAGUCUUGCGGGUUAUUCGAGCGUUCGUGAUCAAGGGUUGAAGAUGAGUCUUCAAAGGCCCAAUUCGAUCAAGAUCAAUCCUGAGUUAGUAAAGAAAAGGCUGAGGAAAUCUCUGUUUCUUCAUUGAAGUUCUCUCUGUUUUCCUCUCUUAUUCGAUAAAAAAACAGAUGAAGAUUGAAGAAUAAGAUAAAGAGAAGAAGAAGGAACACACAGAGUUACGUGGUUCGGCCAAUAAGCCUACGUCUACGAGAAGAUUCUUUUUCUUUCUCACUUGAAGAUUACUUACAACAGUUGUAGUUUACAGAAAAAUAUAAAGUACAAUGAAUUCUAUAUUGUUUUGUUCUGAUCAGUAGUAUUUAUAACACACCAUCUGACCAUUACAAGAUAUAACGUUUGUUAUGUAAACUAAACUAGCUGAAAAGUAUUUGAGUCACUGUUUUUACAAAUUCUCCACCUUGACUCUAAUGCCUGCAAUCUUCUAAUCUUC